AAAAGUUUGCCGGCUUCCGCAGUGAUGGAUCACCGUUUUAGUGGCAUUUAAAUCCCCGGCGCUCCGCCGUCUAGGUGACGCGCAGUCGCCCCCCCAGGCAGCCUAGGCGGCGGCAGCUGCUGCGGCGACUGCAAAGGCCGAUUUGGAGUGCUGGAGCGAAGAAGAGCAAAAGCUGCGUUCUGCGCGCGCCCGACUCCGCUGCCCGCCCCGCCAGGCCUCCGGGAGGUGGGGGCUGGGAGGCGUCCCCCGCUCCCGCCCCCUCCCCACCGUUCAAUGAAAGAUGAACUGGCGAGAGGUCUGUUUUGCCUGAACCCAUCAACAGCUGGGAGAUUAAUCAACCACACUGAAAAUGUGGAGGGAUUUAUGGGGGAGGGGGUUGAAAUGUGGGUGUUUGAAACAAAAGUGUAUAAACAAAUGAAUUGUUGAUAACUUAGUUAUUGACCUGGAGACUGGUAGCUUAUUAAAGAAACUCCGUGUUACUCAUUCCUGGAGUUGGGGGUUUCUGUAGGCACUUUAUUUCUCCACUUUCAAGAGCUUGGGCUUGGCCCAAAUCUUAGACUGUCCAAUUCUGCCUCUAUUACCAAUUUAAAUCUAUGGCUUGAACCUGUGCACUGAAAAUCAAAUCCUUUAAAAAGAAAGAGGAGAAGAAGAAGCAAAAAAGAAAGAAAAAACACUUAUUAGAAGCCCUAGUCAUUUUUUGGCUUUCUGUUUUGUUGCUGUCCAUUGAAGACUUUGAACAUGCCGCCUUAAUAAAUGUAUUAAAAUUGAAAAAAGA
rnacentral:lncRNA from 1 species